GUAAUAGGUGCUCUACAAAGAGUUAAAAGGGAAAGUGGUUAAAAUCCACUGCAGCCCCCGCUACUGUAACGCAGACGAACCAGUAUCCACUGAAUUAUUUUGGGAAGGAUGGUGUAGGAUGAUGCGUGAGCCAGGAGACCUGCCUAGAACGUU
rnacentral:ncRNA from 1 species